UAUCUGCUCUGAGGAGUGAAGAUUCUCAGUGACCUUCGAAAUAUAAGGACAAGCUAAGGUGGGAAGAUUUUUCAAGCUUAUUUGCAGUUCUAUCAAUUGAAGGGGUUGAACUUGAAUAUUAUACAUUUUGACUCUUAAACUUCUACAAGGCUUCCAGUUAAACAAAGAAGACUGGACCCACGUUCCAUUCCAAAACCCACCAAAAUGAGAGUACAUAAAUGAAUGAGUGAAUGGUAUAAACUCACAAGGACAAGGAGGACAGUAGUGGUGAGCACAGAAGACAAGAGACAUCAGCACAGUUUUGGCGGAUGAUAGCAGAUCAAUGAUUGAUAACUGAUCAACAGGACAGAGAAAGCAGAAACCUGCAUGUCUGCAGAGGAGGAAUGCGAAGUAGAAGUAAGCCCAUGCCACUGCCGAGCCCCAGAGGGGUUGAGGCACCCAAAGCUCAGAAGGUGGCACAACUGACUAGUGAGGUACAAAACAGGAGGACUGAGGGAAAAUGUGCACAAGGGACAAUUAGAUGCAUCUUGCCUACCCUGCCUCCUCUAUUAACCCACACAGCCAGGAGACGGUGAACUGAUUCUGCAGAGAACUCAAACUGGAGAGGCUUUGGACAGAGAGUGAUAUGAACAGAGAUAAGGGUGAGGUGCCCUACUAAAAAGAGGGAGAAUAAGUAAAAUCCUACAUCCUGAAUGGAUGCAGCCCAAGAGACAGAUGUAGAGGUAUGAAAAUGUGAGGGGUUCCCAAGGACACAAUGGGCAGGACAGCCCCGACUCUGUGCAGCAGAGUCCACCAGAUGCCAGCGCCAUUCAGCUUUUUAAUGCCUUUCUUUAAUGACACCAAACACCUCGAGGAAGUUUUUAACAUGAGAGGCAAGGACCAAAACAGAUUUUAAAAAAAAAAUCUUGAAGGAAACAAGAGAUAAUGCUGGGAAAAAAAAAAAAACUGUAGUGCACAACAUCAGGAGACGAGAGAGGACUUCAUAUCCAUGAAACAGGAACAGUAUGCUAUUAAAAGAAAACUUCGGAGAACAACAAAGAAAGAGCUCUUGAAAAUUAAAAAUAUAAUAGCAGAAAUACAAAUUCAAAAGAACAUUUUUGCUUAUUAUCAGAAUAAAAGUGUGAAAAUCUUCACUAAACCCAAGCCCAAAUGGAAAAGAACCUACCUGAGCACCCAAGACUUGGACACACCCCACAUGAACCCAACGUUGCUUACUUUUGGGGAAUUUGGCUACAUCUAAAUGUUAUGUGUUACUGAUGGUGGCAGGGGCCCUCUGUUUUAGAGGUG
rnacentral:lncRNA from 1 species